CAGCAGCCGCGGUAANACGNANGAGUGCAAUGCGNUAUCCGGANUUACUGGGUGNAAAGGGAGCGCAGGCGGUACGGCAAGUCUGANGUGAAAUCCCGGGGCUCAACCCCGGUACUGCAUUGGAAACUGUCGGACUAGAGUGUCGGAGGGGUAAGUGGAAUUCCUAGUGUAGCGGUGAAANGCGUAGAUAUUAGGAGGAACACCAGUGGCGAAGGCGGCUUACUGGACGAUUACUUGACGCUGAGGCUUCGAAAGCGUGGGGAGCAAACAGGANNAGAUACCCUGGUAGUCCACGCCGUAAACGAUGAGUGCUAGGUGUUUGGGUCCUUUUCCGGGGUUUCAGUGCCGCAGCUAACGCAUUAAGCACUCCGCCUGGGGAGU
rnacentral:rRNA from 1 species